rnacentral:misc_RNA from 1 species
GAUAAAUUGUUAUUUCUAGCACCAUACAUAAAAACCAUCAAUCCAUUAGAAUUUGCUGCGGUUUCAUGAGGUUAUUAUAUAUCGAAACUGUCAAUAAAUGAAGCAUUAAUGAGCUUUAACAAUUGAGUCAUCUAGAAUUUGGUGAGAUAUUAAAUUCAAACUCCGACUGAAAUAGAAUAAAAGGAAAUAAUAAAAAGCCUAUUAAAUUUAAACGUGAGAACUCCUUUCAAGCAUAUUCAUAACGUCCACUAUCACUCUAGCUAAGUUAAAUUUGACGCUGGAGUUUCAUCUUUGAUUUUCAGUUCGACUCUCAUUCACCUUCAAAAAAUUGAAACAAACUAAAUCAUAUAAACAAUUUCAAAAAGUGAUGAGUUGUUU